AAGAAAUAGAAUCACCUGCUCACAGACUGAAUGGAUUGAAAUAUUCUCAGCUUAGUGCUUAUAUGGUGUCAUUCUCACUGGAUCUAACUUAGGUUUUUUUUACCCUUCUUUAUUGCUUGUGCUGAUUUUACUUAUCCCCUGGGCAACUUCCGUAACAAGAAAUAGAAUCACCUCAUGCCCAGACUGAAUGGAUUGAAAUAUUCUCAACUUAUUGCUUAUUUGUUGUCAUUCUCACUGGACCUAACUUGGGUUUUUUGACUCUUGUUCUCCAGGAUGCAUGGCAGCCCUAGAUGCAGAACAUUACCUGCAAGAAAUUGGUGCUCAAGAGGGCAAGAGUGAUUGAACAAUGAAGCUCUUCAAGUGGAAUAACUUUGAAUUAUUGUCAGUUCCUUUAAAGUUUAUAAAUUAUAAACACGUGAGUGAAAGUGGUUUUUUUUUUUUUAUUGGUCAAUCUUCAUCUUUAUUGAUAUGACAGAUGAAGAAAGGGAAUUGUUUAUGACAUUCUUUGGGUCUAUCACCCAAGAUUGAUUUGUGAAUUGCUUUUGUGUCUCGACUCUUACAUAUUCUUUCGAGUUUGAUCUUAUUAGGAUGUAACGCUUAUGUCAUUUCCUUCUUUUUUCAAAAAUGUUGAUACCGUUUGCGGUAAAUUUUGGAAUGGCACCAUGACAUUCUUUAUCAAUUUUGUUUCAUUCUUCUUUUAAUGCUGAUACGGC
rnacentral:lncRNA from 1 species